GCCAGAGGCCCCAAGCGUUAGGCGGAAUCACUGGGCUUAAAGCGUGUGUAGGCGGAUCGUUAAGUGUCUUGUGAAAUCCCACGGCUCACCCGUGGAACUGCUGGGCAUACUGGCGAUCUUGGGCCAACUAGGGGCAGUCGGAACAAGCGGUGGAGCGGUGAAAUGCGUAGAUAUCGCUUGGAACGCCGAAGGUGAAAACAGACUGCUGGGGUUGCGCCGACGCUGAGACACGAAAGCCAGGGGAGCAAACGGG
rnacentral:rRNA from 1 species